UACGUAGGGGGCUAGCGUUGUCCGGAAUCAUUGGGCGUAAAGAGCGCGUAGGCGGCCAGAUAAGUCCGGUGUGAAAGUCACAGGCUCAACCUGUGAAUGCCGCUGGAAACUGUCUGGCUAGAGUCCGGGAGGGGCGAGUGGAAUUCCUGGUGUAGCGGUGAAAUGCGCAGAUAUCAGGAGGAACACCGGUGGCGAAGGCGGUUCUCUGGGCAUUACCUGACGCUGAGGAGCGAAAGUGUGGGGAGCGAACAGG
rnacentral:rRNA from 1 species